GAUGAACGCUGGCGGCGGGCCUAAUACAUGCAAGUCGAACGAAACUUCUGUAUCACCGUGUGCUUGCACGCGCCGAGAAGGAGGUGAGUGGCGAACGGGUCGGUAACACGUUGGCAACGUGGCCAAAAGAGGGGGAAAACACGUGGAAACCGGUGCUAAUACCGCAGAACAAUAGUGACCGCAUGGUAACUAUGUAAAAGGUGGCUAUACUACCGCGUUUGGAUGGGCCGGCGGCGGAUUAGCUAGUUGGGCGGGUAAAGGCUGACCAAGGCAACGAUCCGUAGCCGGUUUGAGAGGAUGAUCAGCCACACUGGAACUGAGACACGGUCCAGACUCCUACGGGAGGCAGCAGUGGGGAAUCUUGGACAAUGGGCGCAAGCCUGAUCCAGCCAUACCGCGUGGGUGAAGAAGGCCUUCGGGUUGUAAAGCCCUUUUGUUGGGAAAGAAAAGCAGCAGGUUAAUCCGCCGCUGUUCUGACGGUACCCAAAGAGUAAGCACCGGCUAACUUCGUG
rnacentral:rRNA from 1 species